ACAAACUUGGUCAUUUAGAGGAAGUAAAAGUCGUAACAAGGUUUCCGUAGGUGAACCUGCGGAAGGAUCAUUAAUGAUUUUUUAAGCAAACCAAGCUUUUCAAUAUAAAAAAAGUGAGGUUUUGCGAAUAUAUUUACAACCCCCACUCUUUAAAAUUUUGAUUUCAUUCAUUAUAUAAAUGAAUAAAAAGAUCACUUUCAACAACUAGAGGAAGUAAAAGUCGUAACAAGGUUUCCGUAGGUGAACCUGCGGAAGGAUCAUUAAUGAUUUUUUAAGCAAACCAAGCUUUUCAAUAUAAAAAAAGUGAGGUUUUGCGAAUAUAUUUACAACCCCCACUCUUUAAAAUUUUGAUUUCAUUCAUUAUAUAAAUGAAUAAAAAGAUCACUUUCAACAACGGAUCUCUUGGUUCUCGCAUCGAUGAAGAACGCAGC
rnacentral:misc_RNA from 1 species